UGUUUUUAGCGUGAUUUGAGGUAAAGAAGCACAAUUUAUGAUACCAAUUUCGUCAGAUUUUACUGCUGAUUUAAAAUAUGCUCUUUGAUCUUAAUCUUGAUCAACGGUUUUUGAGAUUUCAGUGUUCCCCCAUUCAAGUAGAUAGGAGCUGCACUGGUAUAACUGGAAAUAGCCUCCCGGGAGCGUUCCAAAGAUGGCCGACAGUGGACUGACUUGCUAGAAAGACUCUGACCAAUCACAGCUAACUUUUCACAUGAUGUAGGUUAAUUUAAAACCGAGAAAUGGCAUCCGGUAGAAAUCAAACUCUGAAGAUUUUAGGAAGCCUAAACUUAAAAAUGUUGACUACUUCACGGAUACACAUCAAUGGACUUUGCAUGGACUAUCUUGUUGACAAACAGCGGAAUCAACAGUUGUGAUAUAUAAUAUUUACCACCACGUCCUACAAACAAAGUGACUCAAUGGAGCUCAGAACGGAGCUUACAUAAGUUGGCAAACCAGCUUUUGGUGCAUUACCCCACUAACUGAACUGGAGUGUGGAACAGCGAUGCGGAAGGACAGCUUUUACACACACAUCCAUCCAUCCAUCCAUCUAUCUAUAGACACACACGCAUACUAGUUUUUUGCUAGUUUUUACAUAUAUAUACACAUACACACAAAAACGUAUAUUCUUGAAUAUAAUCCUAUUGCUUUCAAAUACCUCAAAACAUCAUCUGUCAUAUUUAUCAUCUGUCAAUUCCCUUGUUUUUUCGCUAAAAGACUUUUUAAUGACAUGCCUUGGAUUGCCUUUGCCUGCGAUUUUGAGUGUAAUUCUUGUCUUUCAUUGUUGUAGGCUGUGCAAUGUAGAAUAACAUGUUCAACUGUCUCUACUUCAUCACUAUGACUGCAUAACCCAUUAUGAUGUGUAUCAAUGCAGGGCAUAGGAAAUAACCACGGUGGAACUACAGUGAAGAAGGGAGGUUGAACAGCUGGCUGUCUGGUGCAGUCAAAACAACCUUGAGCUGAACACGCUCAAAACGGUGGAGAUGAUUGUGGACUUGACUUGAUUGUGAACACCCCAACAUUGACCCCCCCUCACCAUUCUAAACAGCACUGUGGCAGCAGUGGAGUCAUUGAGGUUCCUGGGCACUACCAUCUCACAGGACCUGAAGUGGGAGACACACAUUGACUCCAUUGUGAAAAAGGCCCAGCAGAGGUUGUACUUCCUUUGCCAGUUGAGGAAGUUCAACCUGCCACAGGCGCUGCUGAUACAGU